AGAGUUUGAUCCUGGCUCAGAUUGAACGCUGGCGGCAGGCCUAACACAUGCAAGUCGAGCGGUAACAGGAAACAGCUUGCUGUUUCGCUGACGAGUGGCGGACGGGUGAGUAAUGUCUGGGAAACUGCCUGAUGGAGGGGGAUAACUACUGGAAACGGUAGCUAAUACCGCAUAACGUCGCAAGACCAAAGAGGGGGACCUUCGGGCCUCUUGCCAUCGGAUGUGCCCAGAUGGGAUUAGCUAGUAGGUGGGGUAACGGCUCACCUAGGCGACGAUCCCUAGCUGGUCUGAGAGGAUGACCAGCCACACUGGAACUGAGACACGGUCCAGACUCCUACGGGAGGCAGCAGUGGGGAAUAUUGCACA
rnacentral:rRNA from 1 species